rnacentral:rRNA from 1 species
AUUGAACGCUGGCGGCAGGCCUAACACAUGCAAGUCGAGCGAGCGGCGGACGGGUGAGUAAUGUCAGGGAAACUGCCUGAUGGAGGGGGAUAACUACUGGAAACGGUAGCUAAUACCGAAUACUAUCAGAUGUGCCCAGAUGGGAUGAGCUAGUAGGUGGGGUAACGGCUCAACUAGGCGACGAUCCCUAGCUGGUCUGAGAGGAUGACCAGCCACACUGGAACUGAGACACGGUCCAGACGCCUACGGGAGGCAGCAGUGGGGAAUAUGGCACAAUGGGCGCAAGCCUGAUGCAGCCAUGCCGCGUGUGUGAAGGAGGCCUUCGGGUUGUAGAGCACUUUCAGCGGGGAGGCGUUACCCGCAGAAGAAGCACCGGCUAACUCCGUGCCAGCAGCCGCGGUAAUAC